rnacentral:rRNA from 1 species
UACGUAGGGAGCAAGCGUUGUCCGGAAUCAUUGGGCGUAAAGCGCGCGUAGGCGGCCCUGUAAGUCCGUUGUGAAAGUCAAAGGCUCAACCUUUGAAAGCCGAUGGAUACUGCAGGGCUAGAGUCCGGAAGAGGCGAGUGGAAUUCCUGGUGUAGCGGUGGAAUGCGCAGAUAUCAGGAAGAACACCAAUGGCGAAAGCAGCUCUCUGGGACGGUACUGACGCUGAGACGCGAAAGCGUGGGGAGCGAACAGG